AUGACUACCAUGGAUCAGAAGUGGGAGAAGAAGUGGGCUGCACAGGAGCAAGCAUUGGCCCAGAUGCAAGCAAUCAUUGCACGAUGGGACCCAUCACAGCAGCCCCAGUCAGAGGAGACCCCAGACCCAUCAGACCCAGACCCUGCUGAUGAUUAGAUUUUGUUGAGGAGUUCAUACUGAUACAUUCACCAUCACCACUAUUAUUGGUUAUCAAAAUAUAAUCCAGGAUUAUAUUCGGAUAUAUGUAUAAGUGAUGUAUCAUGAUAUGUAUUUUGGAUAUUUUGUAUUUGUCGUUCACUUGUAUACUUUUAGAUACUUUUGAUUGUGAGAACUUGAUACUUAGAUUUUAUUAUAGUUUGGAGAU